rnacentral:rRNA from 1 species
ACGGAGGGUGCAAGCGUUGUCCGGAUUUAUUGGGUUUAAAGGGUGCGUAGGCGGCUUAUUAAGUCAGGGGUGAAAGACUGCAGCUCAACUGUAGCAGUGCCUUUGAUACUGAUGAGCUUGAGUACAGAUGAGGCUGGCGGAAUGGGUGGUGUAGCGGUGAAAUGCAUAGAUACCACCAAGAACCCCGAUUGCGUAGGCAGCUCGCUGAGCCGAAACUGACGCUGAGGCACGAAAGCGUGGGGAGCGAACAGGA